rnacentral:rRNA from 1 species
GGAGGGUGCAAGCGUUACCCGGAAUUAUUGGGCGUAAAGCGUCCGCAGGCGGUUUAUUAAGUCAAAUAUUAAAUCUUGAAGCCCAACUUCAAGGCUGUAUUCGAAACUAAUAAACUAGAGUAUUUCAGAGGCAUGUGGAAUUCUGUGUGUAGGGGUAAAAUCCGUAGAUACACAGAGGAACACCAAAAGCGAAGGCAGCAUGCUGGGGAAUUACUGACGCUCAUGGACGAAAGCGUAGGUAGCGAACGGGAUUAGAUACCCCGGGUAGUCUACGCCGUAAACGAUGGAUACUAGGUGUUGGUCUUGCUCGAUCGAGAUCAGUGCCGACGCUAACGCAUUAAGUAUCCCGCCUGGGGAGUACGAACGCAAGUUUA